UGACCACACCCUUUUCAGAAGCCAGCCUGGAUAAGAAUUGUUGGAAGUAGAUACCCACUUAAAGGAAUAAAGGGAGCAGCAAUAAAGAAGUUAUACUUGUUGCUUAAGAAAAAAAGAGAACUGGUUUAUCAGUGGUUCCAGAAUACUUUUCCUAAUUUUGCGGACAUUUGUACUCCACCAUAAUUACUCUCUCCUUGUCAUGAAAUGAACAGGCAAAAUGAAUAAGAAAAAGAAAAGUGUGUGGCAGCAAACUCAAGCCCUUCUGUAUAAGAAUUUUCUUAAAAAAUGGAGGAAGAAAAGAGAGAGCUUGUUGGAAUGGGGCCUCCCAAUACUUCUAGGACUGUAUAUGGGCCUAUUUUCAUAUUUCAGAGAAAAUUUUCGGGUUCCUGAAAUGCCUCCUCAGGAUCUUGGAAGGGUCGAUAAAUUUAAUACCUCUUCUAUAAAGGUUGUGUAUACACCAAUUUCUAGUAUAACCCAGCAGAUAAUGAAUAAAACAGCACUUGCUCCCUUUUUGAAAGGAAAAGAAGUCAUUGGAGUGCCAGAUCAAAAAUCAAUGGAUAAAAUAAUUCUAGAGAAUUUUCCAGACAUUGUGGGAAUCAUCUUUAAUGACACUUUCUCAUAUAAGUUGAAAUGUUUUCAGGGGUAUGACAUUCCAUUUAUGGUGGAAGAAGAUUUCUUAGCUCAUUGCUGGCAUGGAUAUGAUUGGUUUUCAUGUUUACUGUCCCAGUACUGGGAAAGAGGAUUUGUGACCUUACAAACUGCCAUUAAUUCUGCUAUUAUAGAGAUCACAACAAAUCACUCUGUGAUGGAGGAGUUGAUGUCGGUUACUGGUAUAAAUAUGAAGACAUUACCUUUCAUUGCUAAAGACAUAUUUAUGUAUGAGAUGUUUAUUUUCUACUGUUUGCUUUAUUUCUUCCCAUUUAUAUAUUUUGUAUCACUCAGUGUUACAAAAGAGAGGAAAAGGCUUAAGGAUUUGAUGAAAAUGAUGGGCCUACAAGAUUCAGCAUUCUGGCUGUCUUGGGGUUUAAUCUAUGCUGGCUUCACUUUCAUUAUAUCCAUAAUCGUUGCAGUUGUCGUAGCAUCUGCCCAAAUUAUAGCCAUGACAGGCUUCAUGGUCAUAUUUACACUCUUUUUCCUGUAUGGCCUGUCUUUGAUAGCUUUAGUAUUCUUGGUGAGCAUAUUGUUAAAGAAAACUGUCUUCACCAGUUUGGUUGUAUUCCUCUUCACUUUCUUUUGGGGAUGUGUGGGAUUAACUGUACUACACAGACAACUUCCUUCAGCUUUGGAAUGGAUUUUGAGUAUUUGUAGCCCCUUUGCCUUCACUGCUGGAUGGGCUCAGAUCAUCCACCUGGAAAUUAACUUGAAUGGCGUCAUUUUUCCUGACCCUUCAGGAGAUUCGUACAUAAUGAUAGCAACUUUUUUCAUGUUGGCUUUUGAUGCUCUUUUGUACAUGGUAUUGGCCUUAUACUUUGACAGAAUAUUACCCUAUGGAAGUGAGCACCGCUAUUCUCCAUUAUUUUUCCUGAACUCAUCAUCUUGUUUCCAACACCAAAGAAUUCAUAAUAAGAUCACUGAAAAAGAAAUAGAUUCUGAGCAUCCCUACAGUGAUUAUUUUGAACCGGUAGCUCCCGAAUUCCAAGGAAAAGAAGCCAUCAGAAUCAGAAAUGUUAGAAAAGAAUAUAAGGGGAAGUCUGAAAAAGUGGAAGCAUUGAAAGCAGGAUUGAUCCUUGACAUAUAUGAAGGUCAAAUUACAGCAAUUCUGGGUCACAGUGGAGCUGGCAAAUCUUCACUGCUAAAUAUCCUUAAUGGAUUGUCUGUUCCAACAGAAGGAUCAGUUACCGUCUAUAAUAGAAAUCUCUCUGAAAUGCAAGACUUGGAGGAAAUCAGAAAGAUCAGUGGUGUUUGUCCUCAAUUCAAUAUUCAAUUUGACAUACUUACUGUCAGGGAAAACCUCACGCUGUUUGCUAAAAUAAAAGGGAUUCAGCCACAGGAAGUGGAAAAUGAGGUACAAAGAAUAUUAUUGGAAUUGGACAUGCAAAACAUUCAGGAUAACCUUGCUGAAAAUUUAAGUGAAGGACAGAAAAGAAUGCUGACCUUUGGGAUUGCAAUUUUAGGAAACCCUCGGCUUUUGCUGUUAGAUGAACCAACUGCUGGAUUGGAUCCCUUUUCAAGGCACCGAGUAUGGAACUUCCUGAAGGAACGUAAAGCAAACCAUGUGAUUCUCUUCAGUACCAAGUUCCCAGAUGAGGCUGACAUCCUGGCUGAUAGAAAAGUGAUCAUGUCCAAUGGGAGAUUGAAGUGUGCAGGCUCUUCACUCUUUUUGAAGAGAAAAUGGGGUCUUGGAUAUCACUUAAGUUUGUGCAGAAAUGAAUUAUGUGAUCCAGAAAAAAUAACAUCCUUCAUUAAUCACCAUGUCCCUGAUGCUAAGUUGAAAACAGAAAAUGAAGAAAAGCUUGUAUAUACUUUGCCUCUGGAGAGAACAAAUAAAUUUCCAGACCUUUUCAGUGAUCUUGAUAAGUGUUUCGGCCAGGGUGUGAUGAGUUAUGAUGUUUCCAUGUCAACUCUGAAUGAAGUCUUCAUGAAACUAGAAGGAAAAUCAACUUUUGAACAAGAGCUUGAACAAGCAGAGAUGUUAAGAGACACAGGAAACCUAGAGGAAAUGGACUCAGCUCAUUCUUCUCUCCCGGAAAUGCAGAAAGCUACAAGUGACAGGACUCUCUGGAGACUGCAGGUCUGUGCAAUAGCACGGCUCCGUCUCUUAAAGUUAAAACGUGGAAAGAAAGCCCUUUUGUCCUUACUAUUGGUGCUUGCAAUUGCAGUACUCCCUUUGAUUGUGGAAAAGAUAUUUUCUGCUAUAUUAUCUCAAAAGAACGACUGGGAAUUUAAACCUGAAUUCUAUUUCCUCUCUCCUGGACAACGCUCCAGAGACUCCCAUACCAGCCUAUUGAUCAUCAAUAACACAGAAUCAAAUAUUGAAGAUUUUAUAUGUUCACUGAAACAUCAAAAUAUAGUUUUGGAAGUAGAUGACUUUGAAAAUAGAAAUGGCACAGACGAUCUCUCAUACAAUGGAGCUAUCAUAGUUUCUGGUCAAAAAAAGGAUUACAACUUUUCAAUUGUGUGCAAUACCAAGAAAAUUCACUGUUUUCCUAUCCUUAUGAAUAUUAUCAGCAAUGGGCUACUUAGAAUGUUUAAUCAUACAGAAUAUAUUCGAAUUGUGAGAAGUUCAUUGCCUUCUCGUUAUAUGAUGUUUUUGACUGGGCUGCCGGAAGGCACCGUUUUCUUAUAUUUGAUUGUAAGCAGCAUUUCUCCUUACAUCGCCAUGAGCAGUGUCAGUGAUUACAAGAACAAAGCUCAGUUCCAGCUGUGGAUUUCGGGCCUCUACCCUUCUGCUUACUGGUGUGGGCAGGCACUGGUGGAUCUUAACCUCUACGCUUUUAUUCUCCUUUCAACGUAUUCAGUUGUCCUCCUAGAAGAUGUUUCACCCAUUCAUGUUACAAGUCGCAUUGUGUUUGCUAUGGUUGUCUUCGCAUUUGGUUAUGCAGCUUCUCUUAUCUUCUUGACAUACGUGAUAUCAUUUGUUUUUAGCAACAGGAGAAAAAAUAGUGGCCUUUGGUCAUUUUGCUUCUAUGUUAUCUCAAGCUUCAUAUUCUCCCUCAUUUUAAUGAAUGAUUUGAACAUAUCUGUCUCGGUUACCUGCAUGGCAUUGGUUCCCAUGUCUACCAUGGGUGGAUUUCUUACGUUUCUGAUAGAGAAAAUCUACAGGCCCUACAACAGAAUUCAGGACCAAAAACCUGACUUGAAUGAAGUUGAUCUUCUAGUAUGCCUAAUACCUUACUUUCAGGCUUUGAUAUUCAUUUUUGUUCUAAGAUGGCUGGAAAUAAAGUAUGGAAAGAAAACAAUGAGAAAAGACCCUGUUUUCAGAAUAUCCCCCCCAAAUAGAGCUUGUCGACCAAAUCCAGAGGAACCUGUAGAUGAAGAUGAAGAUGUUCAAGAAGAAAGAAUAAGAACAGCAACUGCUCUGACCACCUCCAACUUUGAUGAGAAACCAGUCAUAAUUGCCAGCUGUCUACACAAAGAAUAUGCAAGCAAAAAUAAAAUUUGCUGUUCAAAGAGGAAGAAGAAAGUAGCAGCAAGAAAUAUCUCUUUCUGUGUUAAAAAAGGUGAAAUUUUGGGAUUGCUAGGACCCAAUGGCGCUGGUAAAAGUUCAACUAUCAGAAUGAUAUCUGGGGUCACAAGGCCAACGGCUGGAGAGGUGGAAUUGAAAGGGUACAGUUCAGUUUGUGGCCACCAGGGAGAUGACACGGUCAAGUUCCUGGGGUACUGUCCGCAGGAGGACGCGCUGUGGCCCGGCCUGACCGUGCGGGAGCACCUGGAGGUGUUCGCCGCGGUGAAGGGGCUGAGGAGAGGAGCCGCCGAGGCCGCCAUCGCUCGGCUAGUGGAUACUUUCAAACUGCAUGGGCAGCUGAAGGUUCCAGUGCAGAAACUGACGGCAGGAGUGACCAGGAAGUUGUGUUUUGUGCUGAGCAUGCUGGGAAAUUCACCUGUCCUGCUUCUGGAUGAACCAUCUUCAGGCAUGGAUCCUGCAGGGCGACAGCAAAUGUGCCAGGCAAUUCAGACAGCCAUUAAAAACACCACCAGGGGAGCGCUGCUGAUCACCCACCACCUGGCGGAGGCCGAGGUCCUGUGUGACCGGGUGGCCAUCAUGGUGUCGGGAAGGCUGAGAUGCAUUGGUUCCAUCCAACACCUGAAGAGCAAGUUUGUCAAGGAUUAUAUUUUAGAACUAAAAAUGAAGGAAACUUCUCAAGGACCUCUGGUCCACGCGGAGAUUCUGAAGCUUUUUCCACAGGCUGCACGGCAGGAAAGGUAUUCCUACUUUUUGGUCUAUAAACUGCCCAUGGCGGAUGUUCACCCUCUGUCUCAGGCCUUUCAAAAAUUAGAGGCAGUGAAACAUGAUCUUAACUUGGAAGAAUACAGCCUCUCUCAAUGCACACUGGAAAAGGUGUUCUUAGAGCUUUCUAGGGAGCAGGAAGUGGGAAAUUCUGAUGAGGAAGUUGGUACAACCAUGAGAUGGAGACUCCUCCCUCAUUCAAAUGAUCCUUAAAACCUCAAGCCUAACAAUUCUUUGUAAAGAUCAUGUAAGCAUGUAUGUAAUGAUUAGCAAAGUAUAUGAAGGGCAUAUUCAACAGCCAGAAGCUGCAUGACAACUUCAUCCAGUCCAUGAUUAUCAGUGCUACGGGUUUUCUUUUAUAUGCAAGUACAGCACAAGAUUCUUCCCCUGAAACCUUUUCAGAAAUUGUUUUGAGAGUCACAGGGUAAGGAUGCCCUUGGACUCACAAGGAAACAAGUAUAUGCAUUUGAAAAGCAGUGCAGAUAUACUUUUUGAAAACAAGGGGAGUCACAAGAGAAUUCAUUCAGAUUUUUUAAAUUUUUGAAUAUGUUAUAUUAAGUUCUUAUGAUAGUAAAUUUCAUUCAUCACCCUAUUGAUAAUUUUCUGUGUAUUUGACGCAAGUUUAACCUCAUUUCCCUGUGUGUGUACGUUUGUGUCUUUUGUAUUAAUCAAUUUCUAAAAACCUCCUUGCCAGCUUUCCAUAUUAUUUUAGCUUUUCCCUUAAGUAAUAGCUAUUUCAUUCUAAAUAUCACCAGAAAACUUUUUGAAGACCAAGCAGUAUUCCUGCUGCAUAUCUCUUUUUUCAGUAAUAUGUUAUAUAACUUAAAAAAUUUUAUAUUCACUGAAGAAAAUUUGAAUAAUGGAGAAAAAUAUUGAAAUUGAGGUGAAAUAAAUUGAAUUUAAAAACCACUACAAUCUCACCAUAACAACAACAAAAAAAAUCCAUGCUAACAUUUUCAACUAUUUCCUUCUUUUCCUUACUACCCUUUUUACAUAGUUGAACUCAUAUAAUGUAUACAAUUUCAUAAUUAAAUAAAUGUGCAUAUUCGUUGUCAUAACAUUGAAAUUGUUUAAUAUACAUUUUAAUUUAUGGUGAAGUUGCAGCUUUAGAUAUUUGCAUUUUAUUGUGUUAAUUAUGUGAUUCUUUGUUCAUUUAGUUUUUUGGACUCUAAUCUUUUUAUCAAUUUUAUAAGCUUUUUAUAUAAUAAAAUAUUUUUCUACAUAUUUUUACAAAUAUUUUAAUUAAAUCUGAAGAGUUAUAUUUCUAAAUCUGUGAUAAUCUAUGGUUUACUGCUUAUUC